ensembl:lncRNA
AGUACUUCAACUUAAUUUUUUACUUAAUUUCCAAUACAACAUAUAUAUAUAUUUCCACUAAAGUAUCUAAACAUUAGAAGAAGAAGAAGCAGAAGAAGAAGAAGAAGAAGAAGAAGAAGAAGAAGAAGAAGAAGAAAUGUUUACUUGAAAAAGAAAAUUGCAGAUUUUGUGUUUUUGGGGGAAUGUAUCUUGAAAUAAGUUAAUUUUGUAUUAUGUUUAUGUGUCUUACUUUUAAGUUUAAGUUUAUUUUUUUGUAAAUCAUUAUGCUUUGCCUUAACCAUAUAUGAACCACAUGAAUAUUCCCUUUCUGUCUUUACCUUUCUGUCCCCUGUCUCUCAGGAUCUCUGUCUCCAGGUGCUGGAUUCUCUUUCACGGGGGCACACUGUUGUUACCAUCACAGUGGAAACAGAGGGAUGCAACAUCAGUGAGACGACAACACUGGUGGCCUACAGCCCUCCCAAAUUUCUUGCGCCUGAGGUUCUUCUCUCAGUGGGCUCCUCUUGUGUGGUUAUAUUCGAGGGUGGGCUUCGUCCCUGGCUCCCGGCUACCUUCCGUUUCUUUAGUGACGUCGAGGUGCAGCCAGAGGGGGGUGUUACCAUGGAGGCACUGCGUCCGACUGCAGCAAGGCCACCUAAACAUGCGUAUCAGGUCAUGUGCACUGCCGUAGGAGAACAGGUUUGAAAUGUCCUCAACUACAAUGUGACUCAUGUGUCAUAUGUACUGCAUUAUUACACUAAACUCAUGUAGAUGCAUUUAUUAAUAAUAAUAGAUUUUAUUUUCUGUUUUUACCCACAAACAUAUGGGGUAUUUACAGAACCAGAAGAUUAAAAAUGAUCAUUUAAUAAAUAAUAACCAAUAAUAAGUAAUGUUUAAAAU